GGACGACGCUGGCGGCGUGCUUAACACAUGCAAGUCGAGCGAUGAAACACCUUCGGGUGUGAAUUAGCGGCGAACGGGUGAGGAACACGUGAAGAAUCUGCCUUCAACUCUGGGAUAACUCCGGGAAACCGGGGCUAAUACCGGAUAUGAGCCUUGAUCGCAUGAUCGGGGCUGGAAAGUUUUUCGGUUGAAGAUGACUUCGCGGCCUAUCAGCUUGUUGGUGAGGUAAUGGCUCACCAAGGCGACGACGGGUAGCCGGCCUGAGAGGGCGACCGGCCACACUGGGACUGAGACACGGCCCAGACUCCUACGGGAGGCAGCAGUGGGGAAUAUUGGGCAAUGGAGGAAACUCUGACCCAGCGACGCCGCGUGAGGGAUGAAGGCCUUCGGGUUGUAAACCUCUUUCAGUAGGGAAGAAGCGAAAGUGACGGUACCUACAGAAGAAGCACCGGCUAACUAUGUG
rnacentral:rRNA from 1 species